AUACAGCUGAUGAGUCCCAAAUAGGACGAAACGUGCGUCCUGGAU
rfam:Schistosoma mansoni, Puerto Rico, WGS project CABG01000000 data, contig: 0178